CGGGCAGUAGCUCAGUGGUAAAGCUCCCACUUCGUAUGCGGGAAGACCUGGAUUCGACGGGAGACCUGGGUUCGACUCCCCGCUGCUUUG
rnacentral:tRNA from 1 species